UGGUUUUUAAAAAAUUAACUAUGGUUGAAAAGUUAAAAAAAAAGGUCUAACUUUCUCAUCUAACUUCUUGUCAUUUUAUUUCUUAACUCUUUCAUCUUAACUACUAGAUCAUUUUUCUCGAAUCUAUAACUUUUACCAACAAUCUUAUCUUAUAAGUAAUUUCAAAAAAAAAAUCAUGGAUAUACAUUUUUUAAAAUAAAACAAACAAUAAAGAAAUAGAAAACAAAACAAACAAUAAAGAGAGAGGGGACAAAAAAACCAAACCCUCAAGAAAUAAGAUAAACGUAAAACCUCUAACAUGGGGGGGGGGGUUCAUAGAGGCAAGUACGACCAAAUAGGUUACUACGUAAGUGUGAUAUUAUUACCAACCUUUAAAGGAACUUCAAACCAUGCAACAUUUGAUCCGGUGAUGUGCUUACCAAUACCAUGUUCUUUUUCUUCUUACACUACUAAAAAAACAAAAAUUAGUGAGGGAAAACGUAAAAUCCCUCUCUAAUUCCGUCACUAAAUUUUACGACCAAAGAAUUUAUGAGGAAUUUCAUUUUUUCCGUCAUUAAUUUCCCUCGCUAAUUUUGCUUUUUCUAGUAGUGUUAUUCUUAAAAAUCACCGAUUGAAAUGGUGAAUCAGAUGCAUCUUCACUCACUUAUGGAUUGCAUGCACCUUGAUCAAAUGCCUCAACUGAGUUAUCUUGUUGAGUUGCAUCCAUAAAUGAUUCAUGAGACCUAAACUCAUUGUCAUUUGCAUCAACAACAACCCUUGCAAAGUUAGCAACAACGAGAAUAAUGUCAGAUUUAGUCGCAAUCAUAGCACAAGUUUGCACAUUGGUAACAUGAUCAACGACAACAUUUUUUAUCUGUUUAUCAAAUUUCAAACGUUUUGUAAAUUUGCAACUUAAUUUGAGUCGUUUUGUUUCCUUUGAUUUUUGAGUCAUUCAUAAGUUCUUUUUUUCAAAAAUGAUAUUAUUAAUACAACAUCAAAAAUUAAAUAUAGUUAUCCCUUAUAAUUGAAACUCAAACAUUAAUUUGUCAUCGUCGGAGAUUAGUUUUUUCCUUCAUAGUAGUCGGUUUCAGCCGGUGUUGAGUCAUUUUUUGAACAAGAAUAUAAUAUAUAACACUUAUAUUAUUAUCAUAUGAGAAAGAGAGAAAAAAAAAUUAGUAUUGCAUUGCAAUCAAAAAAGUAAUCUAUAAUUCAAAUCCCAAUUAACAAAAUAUCAAAAUUAUUAGAAUAAAUAUUACUACUGAAUUCAAAUCCCAAUAAAUGUUUGCAUAAAAGUGGGAAAAAGAUACAUAGACACACUUCCAUGUACACCCCAAUGUACACCCUCAUGUGGCAAGGCUAUUUUGGUAAUUUCACAGAGCUUUAUUGUUUUCACCCUCUUCUCUCUCGUAGACCACCCUUUCUUCUCUCUCACUCACCCGAUCUCCCUUUCUUCUCUCUCUCUCUCUGCCUCUAACUCACCCGCCACCACCACCGGCCACCGUUGACGUCACCGCCACCGACCUCUCACUCUUCCCUCAUCAAAACUACCACUCUGUGCCCCAUCAUCUCUUUCUCUGCAAUUCUCUCUCUCUCUGUAACUGAUUUUUUUCCCUUCUUCAUUUUAAUUCAUUUUCUCUGAGAAGAAGAGAUCAGAAAACAACAGAUCUGGUGAGAUGAGUUCGUUAUGGUGGUGGAGAUGAGUUUUGAUACUGGUGGGUGAGAGGAAAACGACAUUGGCCGGAGAGAUGAGAGGUUUGCCGGAGAGAUGAGUUUUUCAGAUCUACUGUGUUGGUGAAAGACAACGAGGUUUGCGGUGGCCGGUGGUAGACUACGCCGGAGAGUGGUAGACAAAAAAAUAGUUGAACGAAAGUGAAGAGAGUAUGACCGGAGAAAAAUACGGUGGUCGGAGUGUAUGGAAGUCGCCGUCGACGUGGCCGGAGAGAUGGAGAGGGACUGUUGGAUGAGAGGCAGAUUUUUUUUUUCUUGUUUAUGAGUUGGCAGUCUUUUGAAUAUUUUAUGCAUUUUUUUGACAAAUGGAGGGGUGUAUACAAGAGAUAUGUCACAUAAGGUGGUAUGAGUAUCACUAUUAACACUAUAUAUUGUUAAUUUCUCAAUAUAUACUAUAUAGUGUAUAAUAGAGAAUAUUUUUUGACAAUGUGUAUAAUAGAGAAUAUAGUGAGUGGUACAUGGCAUGACAAAAGCAUAUAGGACUGAACUAAUAAGUCUCUGGUCAAUGCACACAGAAAUAAUACGACUACAUGCCUUGUUCAUGCAAAAACGAUUACCAUGGGUCCCACUCACUAACUAUCAGCUAAUUCAACUCUUAUUUUUUGAUCUCUAGUAAUGUAUACCCACUGAUCCAGUAGCUUUUGGGUCCAUAGAUUCAGUUUUGCUAACAUUUAUUUAUAUUUUUUUAGUAUUAAUUUAUAUAUAGUUGAGCCAAGCUUUGACAAACCUACCUCCUCUAUGAUCAGUUGAACGUUGUUAAUUAAUGAUCAUUGAAAGAGUGGGGGAGAUAAAUUAAUUUCUCACGAGUCUAACUAAAAUCCUAUACAAAUAAAUAGAAAACGUACGAAAAAGAAAAGAAUUUACUAAUAUGUAUUUUUGAAAUAAUUUUGAUUUGAUGCUAUAAUUAUAUAAGCAUCAGUGAUGCUAUUUACAACGAUAAAAUUCAUCCCGAAGAUAUGGCCACCGUUGGAUUUGUUUUCUUUCCUAUAAGUAUUUCUCGUUAAUUUUAGAUGCCGUUUAAAUUACGAUAAUGGAAUUAGAAUUGAAUGAUGCUGCAUGGAUGCUCAAGUCAUGUGUUUGAAAUUGAAUGAAGGGUUUUAGAGAAUGAUUUAGUUUUCUUUUUUAAAAGUCAAUUAAGUGUGUUUAUCAUGUUUUACUUUUAAAUUAAGUCUUCCAAAGCUUACCUCCAUGAUUGUGAAUUCUUAAAUUAAGUUUUUUAAAUUGAUCUCAUGUAUAAAUAUAUUAUUUAACUUCUUUUUUUUAGUAUUAAUACAUAUAUAAUGAGCUCCAAACACUUCAAUGCAACUCCUCUAAAAAAAAUAUUAAAUGGAUUUUACCAAUAAAAAACAUAUAAUUACAUUUCAACAAUAAUUUUUUAAUUUUUAUGAAAAAUUGGUUGUUGAACUGGCGCGUCAGAAGCAGAUUAAAUAUAUAUAAUUUAUUUUUUAAUAAAAAGUAAUGCAAAAGUUGAGAUGUAUUGGAGGAAAAGGAAAAGGAAAUUUGAGUGAGAGAGAGAGAGUAGUACUUACUUGAAGUGAAGGAGAAUUAUAAACUACAAAUUGAACUGGACAACAGUACAUUUUAGAUUUCCAUGACCUUGUGGUUCUUACUUGAGGUCAGAUAGUCACAUGGACUUUUUUGUAUAACAAGGACAUACUAGUGUAUAAAGUAUGAUGCCAUGGCACACAAAUGACAUAACAGUACACUAAUUAAUGAGGCCCGAUGGUACAAUUGAAGUGUUAAGUGUUGCCUGUAACCUGCCAACUUUCAUACAAUUGAAGUGUUUAUUUGAUAGUAG
rnacentral:lncRNA from 1 species